GCUUACAAAGGAUAAUAGCUCAUCCAUUGGUCUUAGGAACCAAAAACUCUUGGUGCAACCCCAAGUGUAAGCU
rnacentral:tRNA from 1 species